UGAGGAACAUGACCUUCGGCGGGGGAGUAGCCGGCCCCAACGGCCGGGUAAUACCGCGUACGACCACUUUGGGACAUCCCUAGGUGGUGAAAGCAGCAAUGCGCCGAUGGAGUGCCUCGCGGCCUAUCAGCUAGUUGGUGAGGUAACGGCUCACCAAGGCGACGACGGGUAGCUGGUCUGAGAGGAUGGCCAGCCACAUUGGGACUGAGACACGGCCCAGACUCCUACGGGGAGG
rnacentral:rRNA from 1 species